rnacentral:tRNA from 1 species
GGCAAUCUGGCCGAGUGGUUAAGGCGAAGCACUCGAAUGUUUAAGGUUUGUGAUGCUUUGGGCUGUGCCCGCGCAGGUUCGAAUCCUGCGGUUGUCG